AGGCGCGCGUUCCGGGUCUAUAUUUUUUGAGAGGGGUCGGGCUCGAGCUCUUACCCUGCUCGCUUUGUCCCUUCACCUUCAGGUGUCUCUCCUUGACCACGGGCUUCAGUUCGCUUCACUUAAGUGAAUCACAGUAUCUAGUAGUCACUUAAAAAACAAAACAAAACGCGAAUGCUUGAUAAUAUAUUUAGGUGUUGGAGUUACAACAUCACUGCAGUACUUUGUGUCACAACUUCUGCCAUUACAGUACUUUUUAAAAUAAGUUCCAUCCAUUGACAUUAAACAUAGGUAUGUCUGUAUUUUUCAUCAGACUCCUGGAGAAUAUUUUAAAAAGAAAUGUGCAGCAAGAAGUCUUACGACAGCUUGCCGCGUUAUCACAGUAAUCUACAGAACACGUUGAAACAUUGAACUCCUGAGAUGUUACAGCGAUGAACUACUGAAAGUGACUGAUAGCAGAUUGUGCGUGUGUGUGGUUAAUACAUUUAGGAAGCUUUCAUUAGAUUCAGCUCAACAGGGAGGGGCGUAGUUUAGUUGGGGAGAGUUUAAUAGGGAUUCAACCUGUUAGACUUCUGACUCUUAUAUUUUCCAAGCUCUUGACAAAGUAACCUUGGGAAUUUACUUCAUCUCUGUGUACCUGUUCCCUAGAUGUAAGAUAGGGGUGGGACUGGCCUCAUAGGUUCAC
rnacentral:lncRNA from 1 species